UUAUAAAUAAAAUAUUUGAUCCUUUCGUACUAAAAUAUUUAAUUAUUUUAAAGAUAGAAACCAACCUGGCUUACACCGGUUUAAACUCAGAUCAUGUAAAAUUUCAAAGGUCGAACAGACCUAAUUAUUUAGCUUCUACACCAAAAAUAAAUUUUAAUCCAACAUCGAGGUCGCGAUCUUUCUUUUCAAUAAGAACUCUCAAAAAAAAUUACGCUGUUAUCCCUAAGGUAAUUUAAUCUUAUAAUCAUUUUUAUGGAUCAAUUAACCAUUAAUUUAUGUUCUAAUAAAAAAAAAGUUUAUUCAAUUUUUCAGUCACCCCAACCCAAUUUAAAUUAUAAUUAAAAAAAAAUAAAUUCUAAAAUUUAUAAUUACAAUUUAAAUUAAACUCUAUAGGGUCUUCUCGUCUUUUAAAAAUAUGUAAGCUUUUUUACUUAAAAAUAAAGUUCUAAAAUAUUAAAAUUGAGACAGUAAUUUUUUCAUCAAACCAUUCAUACAAGCUUUCAAUUAAAAAACUAAUGAUUAUGCUACCUUUGCACAGUCAAAAUACUGCGGCCCUACUUUAAAUUAUAUUC
rnacentral:rRNA from 1 species